UACGGAGGGUGCGAGCGUUAUCCGGAAUUACUGGGGUUAAAGGGUGCGUAGGCGGCUAUGUAAGUCAGGAGUGAAAGUUUGCGGCUCAACCGUAAAAUUGCUUUUGAUACUGCAUGGCUGGAAUCAGGAUGAGGUCAGCGGAAUGUGGCAUGUAGCGGUGAAAUGCAUAGAUAUGCCAUAGAACACCAAUUGCGAAGGCAGCUGGCUAGACCUGUAUUGACGCUGAGGCACGAAAGCGUGGGGAGCGAACAGG
rnacentral:rRNA from 1 species